GAUCAUGGCUCAGAACGAACGCUGGCGGCAUGCCUAACACAUGCAAGUCGAACGAACCUUCGGGUUAGUGGCGCACGGGUGCGUAACACGUGGGAAUCUGCCCUUUGCUUCGGAAUAACAGUUAGAAAUGACUGCUAAUACCGGAUGAUGUCGUAAGACCAAAGAUUUAUCGGCAAAGGAUGAGCCCGCGUAGGAUUAGGUAGUUGGUGGGGUAAAGGCCUACCAAGCCGACGAUCCUUAGCUGGUCUGAGAGGACGAUCAGCCACACUGGGACUGAGACACGGCCCAGACUCCUACGGGAGGCAGCAGUGGGGAAUAUUGGACAAUGGGCGAAAGCCUGAUCCAGCAAUGCCGCGUGAGUGAUGAAGGCCUUCGGGUUGUAAAGCUCUUUUACCAGGGAUGAUAAUGACAGUACCUGGAGAAUAAGCUCCGGCUAACUCCGUG
rnacentral:rRNA from 1 species